rnacentral:rRNA from 1 species
UACGGAGGGUGCGAGCGUUGUCCGGAAUCACUGGGCGUAAAGGGCGCGUAGGUGGCGCGGGCAGUCAACGGUGAAAGUUCGGGGCUCAACCCUGAAUCGGCCGUCGAUACUCCCGGGCUUGAGCACUGUAGAGGCAGAUGGAAUUCCGGGUGUAACGGUGGAAUGCGUAGAGAUCCGGAAGAACACCGGUGGCGAAGGCGGUCUGCUGGGCAGUAGCUGACACUGAGGCGCGACAGCGUGGGGAGCAAACAGG